rnacentral:rRNA from 1 species
UACGGAGGGUGCGAGCGUUGUCCGGAAUCAUUGGGCGUAAAGGGUGCGUAGGCGGCGCGGUAAGUCGGGUGUGAAAUCUUGGAGCUUAACUCCGAAACUGCAUUCGAUACUGCCGCGCUUGAGGACUGGAGAGGAGACUGGAAUUUACGGUGUAGCGGUGAAAUGCGUAGAUAUCGUAAGGAAGACCAGUGGCGAAGGCGGGUCUCUGGACAGUUCCUGACGCUGAGGCACGAAGGCCAGGGGAGCAAACGGG